rfam:Mycoplasma sp. CAG:472 genomic scaffold, scf10
AAUUAGAAAAAACGAGAGCCAAAGACAGUAGGCGCCCAAAAGGCUUAAUUUCCUACCGAGGGGAAAGUUAUCUUUUAAAGCUUCCCCAUGGGAAGUUUUUUCUAAAAAUAA